CAACCAUCAAGCGCGGCUUAGUAUUAGGAGCCGUCCACAGACACACCCCAAAGUCAGUGGCGACGCCGUCCGGCCUCUAACAUAGUAAAUCGCCUCACUAUAGGACCGUCCGGCUAUCUACCAACAACACAACCACAUCUCAA
rnacentral:misc_RNA from 1 species